rnacentral:rRNA from 1 species
CGGCGGACGGGUGAGUAACACGUGGGUAACCUGCCUGUAAGACCGGGAUAACUUCGGGAAACCGAAGCUAAUACCGGAUACUUUCGAGCAUCGCAUGAUGCUUGAUGGAAAGACGGUUUCGGCUGUCACUUACAGAUGGACCCGCGUCGCAUUAGCUAGUUGGUGAGGUAACGGCUCACCAAGGCGACGAUGCGUAGCCGACCUGAGAGGGUGAUCGGCCACACUGGGACUGAGACACGGCCCAGACUCCUACGGGAGGCAGCAGUAGGGAAUCUUCGGCAAUGGGCGAAAGCCUGACCGAGCAACGCCGCGUGAGCGAUGAAGGCCUUCGGGUCGUAAAGCUCUGUUGUUAAGGAAGAACAAGUACGAGAGUAACUGCUCGUACCUUGACGGUACUUAACGAGAAAGCCACGGCUAACUACGUGCCAGCAGCCGCGGUAAUACGUA